ACUGAAAUUACUUUAGUGGGUGGCGUGAGCCAUACUGUGAGCAACCCUAUGGUGAGUCUUAUAAGGAGAUGAACUGAAGUCUCUCCUGUAAACAGCCAAAUGAAUGAAAUUGGAAGAAGAUACUCCAGAUCAGUCAAAUCCCAGAUGACUGCAACCCUACCUGACCCCUUGAUCGCUGCCAAGUGAAAAAUUGCACCAGAAAUAUCCAGAUGAGCCAUUCUCAGAUUUCUGGCUCAAAGAACAUGUGCAUUCUUAGAAUUUCAUUCAUAUCCUUCAAGAUAUGGCAAAGGAAGAAAAAUCUUUUCGUGAACACCUCUGAAUGUGGCUCAUAAUG